GGCGUGGUGAUGGCCUUUUCCUGCCGGC
rnacentral:piRNA from 1 species